rnacentral:rRNA from 1 species
GCUUAACACAUGCAAGUCGAGGGGCAGCAUGGUCUUAGCUUGCUAAGGCCGAUGGUGACCGGCGCACGGGUGAGUAACACGUAUCCAACCUGCCGUCUACUCUUGGACAGCCUUCUGAAAGGAAGAUUAAUACAAGAUGGCAUCAUGAGUCCGCAUGUUCACAUGAUUAAAGGUAUUCCGGUAGACGAUGGGGAUGCGUUCCAUUAGAUAGUAGGCGGGGUAACGGCCCACCUAGUCUUCGAUGGAUAGGGGUUCUGAGAGGAAGGUCCCCCACAUUGGAACUGAGACACGGUCCAAACUCCUACGGGAGGCAGCAGUGAGGAAUAUUGGUCAAUGGGCGAGAGCCUGAACCAGCCAAGUAGCGUGAAGGAUGACUGCCCUAUGGGUUGUAAACUUCUUUUAUAAAGGAAUAAAGUCGGGUAUGGAUACCCGUUUGCAUGUACUUUAUGAAUAAGGAUCGGCUAACUCCGUGCCAGCAGCCGCGGUAAUACGGAGGAUCCGAGCGUUAUCCGGAUUUAUUGGGUUUAAAGGGAGCGUAGAUGGAUGUUUAAGUCAGUUGUGAAAGUUUGCGGCUCAACCGUAAAAUUGCAGUUGAUACUGGAUAUCUUGAGUGCAGUUGAGGCAGGCGGAAUUCGUGGUGUAGCGGUGAAAUGCUUAGAUAUCACGAAGAACUCCGAUUGCGAAGGCAGCCUGCUAAGCUGCAACUGACAUUGAGGCUCGAAAGUGUGGGUAUCAAACAGGAUUAGAUACCCUGGUAGUCCACACGGUAAACGAUGAAUACUCGCUGUUUGCGAUAUACUGCAAGCGGCCAAGCGAAAGCGUUAAGUAUUCCACCUGGGGAGUACGCCGGCAACGGUGAAACUCAAAGGAAUUGACGGGGGCCCGCACAAGCGGAGGAACAUGUGGUUUAAUUCGAUGAUACGCGAGGAACCUUACCCGGGCUUAAAUUGCAGAUGAAUUACGGUGAAAGCCGUAAGCCGCAAGGCAUCUGUGAAGGUGCUGCAUGGUUGUCGUCAGCUCGUGCCGUGAGGUGUCGGCUUAAGUGCCAUAACGAGCGCAACCCUUGUUGUCAGUUACUAACAGGUUCCGCUGAGGACUCUGACAAGACUGCCAUCGUAAGAUGUGAGGAAGGUGGGGAUGACGUCAAAUCAGCACGGCCCUUACGUCCGGGGCUACACACGUGUUACAAUGGGGGGUACAGAGGGCCGCUACCACGCGAGUGGAUGCCAAUCCCCAAAACCUCUCUCAGUUCGGACUGGAGUCUGCAACCCGACUCCACGAAGCUGGAUUCGCUAGUAAUCGCGCAUCAGCCACGGCGCGGUGAAUACGUUCCCGGGCCUUGUACACACCGCCCGUCAAGCCAUGGGAGCCGGGGGUACCUGAAGUGCGUAACCGCGAGGAGCGCCCUAGGGUAAAACUGGUGACUGGGGCUAAGUCGU